rnacentral:rRNA from 1 species
AUACGGAGGGUGCAAGCGUUGUUCGGAAUCACUGGGCGUAAAGGGCGCGCAGGCGGUUUGGUAAGUCAGAUGUGAAAGCCCACGGCUCAACCGUGGAAGUGCAUUUGAAACUGUCAGACUUGAGUACUAGAGGGGAAAGUGGAAUUCCCGGUGUAGAGGUGAAAUUCGUAGAUAUCGGGAGGAAUACCGGUGGCGAAGGCGACUUUCUGGCUAGAUACUGACGCUGAGGUGCGAAAGCGUGGGGAGCAAACAGGAUUAGAAACCCUAGUAGUCC